CUCUGGGUGUGCAUCUGAAAAUCUGCGUGUGUCACAGGCAAGAUAAGCAGAAACGCUGGGGAAUUCAGGUGCUGUAAAUCCGGUGGACAGGACUCAUCUCGUUAUAGAUCAAGAUAAUUUAUAAAGAUCUUUAAACGAAGGAUUGGAGUAUCAGAUAGUUGACAUGGUAAGCAAGUUAGUUAAUAUUUUAAUUAAAAAAAGGAAAAACGAAAUAAAACGAAUAGAAUACAUUAUUGUUGUUGCGGUGUGUCACGUGACAAUCAUGACCCGUCGCCAUGGACACAAGGGGUCAGAUAAAAUAUUUUUAACUUACGCGUGAAAGGGUUGAUUUUAAAUAUAUAUAUAUUCUAAGUAAACAACAACAGCCCAAGUUUAGUACAAAAAAAUAUUGAAACUAUAAAUAAAUAUUCUGCAUCAAUUUUAGGUGUGCUACUGUGGGUGGCUCCGGGACACCCGUGGCUACGCCCCUGCCGUGACCCAAAUCUCGUUCGCACAUCAUCGCGAUAUGUAUCAUCUGUUUACAAACGUCGCCACUCGCUUCGUAAGAUGGAAUUACUGGACUUCUCUCCAAUGCUCUAUUACAACGCAGAGAGGCCAGCAUCGCUCCACAAAAGUUUUUGUUAAAAACGUCAACGUUCAGAGGCAUCACUCAGUACCAGUCAUGCAGAAACUUUAUGAGGCUGUUGUAAGAGAUUAGCCAAUCCCCUGUAUGUCACUGAUGCACUACUUCAAAGAUGUGAGGACAAGAACAUACACCUGCGAGUAGUCUUAGACAUUGCCUGUGUUGUUGCCUUACAUUUGCAGAAAUCAGGGGAGGGCAUACCACACAACAUCUCCUUAGACUUACCAGCAUUUCAUGUUUAUGGGCACAAAUUGCCCUGCCAGAUCAAGUACAGUACCAGAUGGCUUGAUGGGUUUGGGCUCACAGACGGGGAAGGAAUGGAAAGGCUGUGGUCUUUCCUCCAAAGAUUUGCCAGAGUCACAAAGGAGAUGACUCCAUCUCAUCGCCUUGACCUACUGACUGAUGUCCGCCUUGACGGAGGAAAUCAACUGACCUAGAGGUGCAGCUCCUGCAAAGAGUAGACAAAGCAGAGAAAAUAUUGAUUCUCGCUCCUCAAGAAGAUAUUUCAUCUGUCAUCAGAUAGGUACCAGGUAAACAAUGCACAUAAGAAGCAGGUAACAAUUAGUUGUAGAUGGGAGAAUAUUACAUUCCAUUUAUAAGUGCAAUUUGCACAAGAGUAUUUAGGAUUGAUGUGUGUCUUGUUUUCUGUUAUUGUUGUUGUAUAGUGUUGAUUUCUGAAGGAGAC